rnacentral:rRNA from 1 species
UGGGGAAUAUUGCACAAUGGGCGCAAGCCUGAUGCAGCCAUGCCGCGUGUAUGAAGAAGGCCUUCGGGUUGUAAAGUACUUUCAGCGGGGAGGAAGGGAGUAAAGUUAAUACCUUUACUCAUUGACGUUACCCGCAGAAGAAGCACCGGCUAACUCCGUGCCAGCAGCCGCGGUAAUACGGAGGGUGCAAGCGUUAAUCGGAAUUACUGGGCGUAAAGCGCACGCAGGCGGUUUGUUAAGUCAGAUGUGAAAUCCCCGGGCUCAACCUGGGAACUGCAUCUGAUACUGGCAAGCUUGAGUCUCGUAGAGGGGGGUAGAAUUCCAGGUGUAGCGGUGAAAUGCGUAGAGAGCUGGAGGAAUACCGGUGGCGAAGGCGGCCCCCUGGACGAAGACUGACGCUCAGGUGCGAAAGCGUGGGGAGCAAACAGG